AUUGAACGCUGGCGGAAUGCUUAACACAUGCAAGUCGAGCGGCAGCGGGACCUUCGGGUUGCCGGCGAGCGGCGGACGGGUGAGUAAUGCCUAGGAAUCUGCCUGUUAGUGGGGGAUAACGCGGGGAAACUCGCGCUAAUACCGCAUACGUCCUACGGGAGAAAGCGGGGGCUCUUCGGACCUCGCGCUAACAGAUGAGCCUAGGUCGGAUUAGCUAGUUGGUGGGGUAAUGGCCCACCAAGGCGACGAUCCGUAACUGGUCUGAGAGGAUGAUCAGUCACACUGGAACUGAGACACGGUCCAGACUCCUACGGGAGGCAGCAGUGGGGAAUAUUGGACAAUGGGCGAAAGCCUGAUCCAGCCAUGCCGCGUGUGUGAAGAAGGUCUUCGGAUUGUAAAGCACUUUAAGUCGGGAGGAAGGACUGUAGGCUAAUACCUUGCAGUUUUGACGUUACCGACAGAAUAAGCACCGGCUAACCUCGUGCCAGCAGCCGCCGUAA
rnacentral:rRNA from 1 species